UCAAUGUCUAAAAAAAUUCAGUGCAAAAAAAUUCAAUGUCUAAAAAAAUUCAGUGCAAAAAAAUUCGACGUCUCGAAAAAUUCGGUGUAAAAAAAUUCGACGUCUCAAAUUCAGUGUCCAAAAUUCGGAGUCAGAAAUUCGCAGGCAACAUCCGGGUAACUACGUCCCUACGGAAGCCCUAAAAGGACAAGAUUGAUUUUUUUUUUUUUCGGCGAACCGGAAAUCACGGGCUUUCGUCAGACAGCGACGCUCCGCUGCCCCGGACCGCAGACAGAGGUGAGUUUGUGCUGUUAAUGAGUUAUUUUGUGCUGUUGCCCUUUCCUGAAUAACUUAUAUGACGCACGCAAAUCAAAACUAUCUGUCCAGAAUCUGCACAGUGCAGUAGCCAUAUUUUGCCUCCUAAUACACGGACCUGUGUGUUCUCUUGCUGCUGUCUGUGUUUUAGAGCAGGACGAGCUGCAGCCUUCCAAAGAACGGCAACAACCUCACCAAAUUCACCAGGUGGACGGAGAUGCUGGUGGGACGAAGGAUGAGGAAACCCUGUCAAAGUCUCCUCCUCAUCCUGGAGCUGUGUGGAGGCCAGCUUUACACCUUCUGCUGUGUUUUCUCUUAUUCACUUUCAUGCAGUGUUAUUUUCGACAAACUCUUGUCAGUUCCUGAAUGAUUUUAUUGCAGAAUAUCAUUGUCAACAAAGAUUCUAUUUUUGUAUUAAACUGUUUCAAACUCAA